AACUUCUAACUUCUAAGGGUAAAAUGGCAGUUUGAACCACCUAAUUGUGUGCGCUCCACCUAGACUUCGAAAAUUCUACCCGCGCUACCCUUCUCUCGAAAUUUCUCAACCAACAUUCACAACUAGUCGAUUUUUCACUUCCCUUUCUCCCUGCAUCUUUCUCUUUUGUGUUAGGGUUUUUAUCUCUCUUCGCGUUUCGUUUCUUUGUUCGGGUUUGGUUGUUGAGAGAUUGUCGAGGGUUUGCGUCUCUGGUACGUUGAGAUAGGGUUGUGGAACUCGCCGAAACGUUGGCGAUUUUGAGCACAACAUUGUGUAUGCCAUCGAGCUUGUUUCAGGCCACACUACUUUCAAGGAAAUUAUAAGAAGUUCUUCUAUGCACACCAACCAUACUAGCACCAUGUAUCUGUCUGCACAUUGAAAUGGUGGCCGGUGGUUAGUCGAGAGUGUGAUUGCUGAUUCCUGUUCGAAGAUUUGGAGACGGAGGCAUUUUCAUUUGGAAUUUGAGGAGAUCAAUCGAUGAGGUCAUUCCCAAGCUGGAGAAGAAGCUCUCAGAUGCAGCGGUGGUGAGGUUGUGGUGUGGUUCAUGGAAGAAAAAACAAAUGACAUUACCAAACAGGGCGGCAAGAAGCACUACUAGUGUAACUCCAAUGAAGCCAAUGGCUAGAAUCCAGAGACGUGUUGGCAUCAUAUUCCACAAAAGCUAUUGGAAGAUCCUCCCUAGUUGUGAGCAAUUCUCAAUUUGAACCAUUCAAGGCUGAAGAAAACUGAAUAUCAAGGACACAAUCAUAAACACGAGUUUGAAGAGUGCUCAACAGCAGAAGCAAACAGCAAAGGAGUUUUCCCCCAGAAACUUGGUUACAUUAGAACAAGAGAAAUUUAAGUAUUUAACACGAAGAUCCAAAUUUGAAGAUUCUACGCAAUUUUAAUACAAUUGGAAACAAGAUCAGGGGCAUAAGAUUUAAGCAAAUGGCAUUAGCGUGGUUGUUCCACAAGUUCUCUGAAUGAGCUUUCAGCCGCUUGGAAUGAAUUGCCGUACUUUUGGAAUAUAUGUAUAAUAUUCUUACAAAAAGUGCCGGUGGAUGCAAGUGUUGACUGUCUUUUUUCAAUAUUGUUAAAAAAAUUAUUUACCAAAAUAUUGUAUUUUUAAGUAUUUAUCAAUGGUCUAUUCAAAAAAAAAAAGUAUUUAUCAAUGGUUAUUUUGGCCA